rnacentral:lncRNA from 1 species
UUGCCCGAUCUGCAAAAGAAGCAUACAACAAUUUCUAAUUUGCAACAUGUUCUGCAUACCUGGAAUGCUGUAAACUUAAAAGGGCUUUCUGGUUGGAACAUCCCCUCCUCAUCAAGGCAUCUCUCUGGUCUGAACUCCUCUGCAUCAUCACCCCAAAUGAAUUUCAUUCUGCCCAUUGCAUAAGGUUCAUAACAAACCAUAUCUCCUUUCCUCACACUGAACCCAUCUGGAAGAGUUUCAUCAGACAAGCAUAUCUUUGCAUCCUGCAAUCAAAGUGAAGAGGUAGUGAGAACCAAAGAAAACCCCAGAACAUAGCAAGGAAGCUAAUUUCUAGCCUUCCCGAUAUGCAUUGAAUGGAUAUCAGUUUAUCGAUGCAUGUUCUUUGAUGUGCAUUAACAAGUUCAGUUGGAGGAUUCAAGAUUCAAGGCAACUUUGCUUACAACUGGAACAGCGGGGUAGAGCCUUAAUGUUUCAGUUAAGGCUGCAUGGAGAUAGUGCAUUUUUCCUAGGGCUUCUUCGCUCAAGAUAGCAGCAAAUUCAGCAAAAUCUUUAACCUCCUUCGUGUCAGUUGCUUCCUUCACUUCUUGUGCAACCUUUUCUUGAACAUCAGGAUGCUUGCAGAGCAUGUAAAUAAACCACGACAGAGUAGCUGUCGUUGUGUCUUUCCCAGCAAUUAUGAAGUUAAGGAUUAUAUCUCGCAAGUAUGUUGGAUCAGUGUCACUCACUUGUAGAAAUCUGGAUAAAAUGUCUUCCUUUUUCAUCUGCAUAAUCUGUAGAAAAUAAUAAUUUCAAUAUUCUACUUCAACAGGUAAUAUAAGCUGUUAACUAUAAGUAGCUCUACUGUUCUAGUUCACUCACUGAAGCUUCAUCCUUUGAGUUGCGUAUUGGCUCAAUCUUGUUGUGGAUCAGCUUAUACACAAAAUUAUCAACCACUUCUAUACUUUUCUUCAGUGUGGCCUCUGAUCCAAUAUUUAGAAAUCUUUUGAUCUUCUAGAAGAUAUCAACAUAUCGGAAGAGGAUUGCUGCACUUGAAUCAUCAAAAGCAGCUGUAAACUGUUUGCCUUCUAAAUUUGAUCCACACAUGCUGUCUAGUUCGACUCCAAAUGCAACUUUGAAUAGUGAAUCUAAAGUCGAUUUCAUAAACAAGUCCUGCACAAUAUAUCGUUAUAACAGAUCCAUUUUAUAUAUCACUCUGCAUUGAUCUUGCCAUUAGGUGAACUUACCUGUAUAUCCAUUAUCUCAUUGGAAUUUGCUGCUUCAGACACUAUAGUUGCAAGUUUUGCCGCAUUUUCCCGAAAGACUACACUGCUGAAAUCUCUCAAGACCUUGGUUGAGAAUUCAUAGCUUGAUACUUUCCUCUGUUGACGCCACUUAUCACCAUCGACAGUGAAAAUCCCAUCACCUAGUAAACCCUUUAGCAAGCUGUAAUUGUACUCACCCUGCACAGAAAAUUAAACAGUUUGGAAAACCAAAACAACUCCACCAUUCUGCCUUUUGGGUGGCCAUAUAAUUAUCAAAAGCCCUCUCAUUCCAACUAAUCACUCUGCGGCAUAUUAGCAUCUACAAUUGACUUACUUGUGGCGAGAUUGAGACCCUUUUUCUUAAUCUAAUUACGGGUGUUUCUGUCUAAGCUACUUACACUAACCAAUCACCGGGAGAGUUCAGAAUUUUCUAGACCAACAAAUUAUUUGUGACUUUGAGGUGUGAAACGAGAGUCGGCACCAUACCUUGCCAUAUUUCUGGAAAUUUGUUUUUAGAAUAUACUCAACAUUGUCUGGUUCCGAGGUAUAAAUCUCAUUCCUGAAAGGGCUAAGCAGCCUGUAGUUCCUGUACUUCCCAGCAAGAUCAGUCAUAUAGUGAUGCAAUCUUCUGAAGUUGAGGAGCUGGUUAAAAACCGUUCCGCCAACGGGAUGGUACUUGGCCUUAUUUUUCCUCUGCCUUUCUCUUAGUUUUGCUGUGAGGAACUGGACGGUGAAAAGGGUCAGGAUUAGACUUAGAACCAAAGCUACCAAGGGAACUGGGUUAGACAGAUCCAUGAAGAUGGAGGUACGUUUGGGAAAGCUGGUCUAUCAAUGUUAGGUGAAGGCUGUAUUAAACUAGAGAAGUCGUUCUGAAAUACUAAUAAUAUCAACGGAGAGAAGUCCUUCUGCCAAGUUAUUCCUCUCAACCAAACGUGUCACAACCUAAUUGGACUACAUUCGGACAAGCCCGAAACGUGGUUCUCUCGAAUUUCACAAGGUGAAAUUUUUGAAAUUGGCAAAAAAUUACUAAUAAAUUUCACCACAACCAGAUAACAAAACAAAGGGUCAUACUUAUUUUUUCCUUAGUUAUGAUGGUAAAGGACAUACAUAUCUGUUCUAUUCGGUUAUUUUGUAGUUAAGUAAAGAGAAUGAUUUUUUAAUUUAAUUUUUAAAUAAAAAUACGUGUAUUUAUCAUGUUAAGUUUAAUAUUCAGAUGAAAAAUUAAUUAGAAUUUUAUUUCAAAGCAUAUGAUACAAUUAAGUAACUUAAGUACAAAGAUGAUUAAGCUUAGCAAACAAGGAAAUGUCAUAUUUCUCAAUCCGAGAGAUAAGAAGCACAGAGCCAAAGGCCCUGCAAAAAGGCAGGGGAGAACUGAAUUGUUGUUUCCUAAAACUUUGCAUUAAGAUCAACAUGACUUUCUAGUCAUUAAAUAUUCUGCUAGAUUUCGAACUUGCAAAUAUGGUCUGUUUUAAUGAAAUUGCAGAAUGUUGUCUCAGGUCUCAACAACUUUGAUUUCACUUCUUUUUCAAGGAAAAAAAAAUGGUUUCACUUAGUUUGCAGAAGUGUCCUGAACUCAAUUUUCAGACAAAAGUAUGGUUCGAGACUCCUUGGUGAGUGAAAGUAAUUCUUCAUCAUAUUUAUUCCUUUAUUUUUCUUUUUGGAUAUCAUUGUAUUUAUUCUUGUGCAAGGACAAGUACAUGCAUACUCAAACCUUGCAAUUGCCCAGCAUACAGAACUGAGCCAACAGAUGAAACCCGUGGUCAAAUAGGCAAGAAAGACUAAGUCUGACAUCUGGGAAAUGCGCGGACAUGAAGGCCCCCAUCUACGUGAAGAGUGAUCAUCGUCCUGUAGGUGACAGAUUUAUUCUCAUCACUCAGUUUGAACACAAAGUAGUGCACCAGAACAGCCGAGAAGAUCUUCAUCUGCCUAUAAGCAAAUUCCUUGCCGAAACAAAUUCGAGGGCCUGCCUGUAAACCAUUAGAAAAUAAAGUUCAGCAUGUUCACAUCUUUAGCCGGUGAAAUCACACUUGUGAAACAAUAUGAGAAGUUUGAACUUUCGGAAAAAGACCCAGAACCAAAAAUCAAAUGCUGUUAUACUGCUUUUUUAGCCUCUUUUUCUAUUUGAGGUUUUAUUUUACACCAAGUGCCAAUCAGAAUAAUAAUGCUUUGGCCGAUCUGGAAACGAAGCGUACAAGAACUUCUAAUUUGUAGUAUGUUCUGCACACCUGGAAUGCUGUAAACUUAAAAUGGCUUUCUGGUUGGAACAUCCCAUCCUCAUCAAGCCAUCUCUCUGGUCUGAACUCCUCUGCAUCAUCACCCCAUAUGAAUUUCAUUCUGCCCAUUGCAUAAGGUUGAUAACAAACCAUAUCUCCUUUCCUCACACUGAACCCAUCUGGAAGAGUAUCAUCAGAAAAGCAUAUCUUUGCAUCCUGCAAUCAAAGUGAAGAGGUAGUGAGAUCCAAAGAAAACCCCAGAACAUAGAAAGGAAGCUAAUUUCUAGCCUUCCCGAUACGCAUUGAAUGGAUAUCAGUUUAUAGAUGCAUGUUCUUUGAUGUGCAUUAACAAGUUCAGUUGGAGGAUUCAAGAUUCAAGGAAACUUUGCUUACAACUGGAACAGCGGGGUAGAGCCUUAAUGUUUCAGUUAAGGCUGCAUGGAGAUAGUGCAUUUUUCCUAGAGCUUCUUCGCUCAAGAUAGCAGCAAAUUCAGCAAAA